UACAGAGGGUGCGAGCGUCGUCCGGAAUCACUGGGCGUAAAGGGCGCGUAGGUGGCGGCCCAAGUCCGUGGUGAAAGCUCGCCGCUUAACGGCGAGUCGGCCACGGAGACUGGGUGGCUCGAGCACUGUAGGGGCAGAUGGAAUUCCGGGUGUAGCGGUGGAAUGCGUAGAGAUCCGGAAGAACACCAGUGGCGAAGGCGGUCUGCUGGGCAGUUGCUGACACUGAUGCGCGACAGCGUGGGGAGCAAACAGG
rnacentral:rRNA from 1 species